rnacentral:misc_RNA from 1 species
AAAACGUUUUUAAGAUCAAAAGCAGCAGUCAAAACUUUCAACAACGGAUCUCUAGGUUCUCGCAUCGAUGAAGAACGCAGCGAAAUGCGAUACGUAAUAUGAAUUGCAAGUCUUGUGAAUCAUCGAAUCUUUGAACGCACAUUGCGCUCUGGGGCAUUCCCCAGAGCAUGCCUGUAUGAGCGGUGUUUCUCUCUCGCAAGGUGAUGGGCCGCACGGCAAGUCGGCCCCAAAGACGCCGGGUCUAAUGUACUAGGCUUCAUUAACGCCCAAUUUUAGUGUCACCCUCAUAUCAGGUAGGACUACCCGCUGAACUUAAGCAUAUCA